UUUGAGGGCGUUUGUGUCCCUGUGGCGUCACACUGCUCACCCUCGUUUGUUUACAUAUGGCGCCGCCGGUAGAGCAGGGAGCUUGAGAGUUUACAGGGUAUUUACCAGAUUGGAAGGACUUUGCAGUAACGGUUCCGAAAAUAUGGUACGCCAAGCACUUAAUUGCUUUGAACUGGCUGGCAUCACGUUGCUCAUCUUUCACUUCAAAGCUACUUUUGUGUUCGCUUUGUUCCACUCGAACGCUUCCGAUGUGCUUCCUUUUGGUUCCCCGGUUCCGCACGCAGCUGCCGCCCCCUCGCGCCGCUUUCAGUUUCACUCCUCUCCGCUUCCUGUCACUCUAUUUGCCUCCUCCCUGCACUGUUAAAAAAGACCGUAAAUUUACGGAACGCCACCCACGGAACGAGAGCUUCUCUUUUUCAUUGCUGCUCCAGUUCCGUAGCGGCACAUGAACCGUUGCUAUCCCAUCGUCUUUUCUUGGAAUGAGUAGAGCAAUAUCGCUGAAAAUGAAAUAUUUUGUUCAGACCACGUCACGAUUAUACUAGCAGAAAUAUGGAAGACGAUACAUGUCUUCAGCGAAGCACAUAUUUACCGUGUUUAAACGAUCCAACAGUGAUAUCGCAAUAUUCGGGCCUAACUUUUUGCUCGGAUGAAUGUGGCAGACUCAAGGACGCCGGCGUCUCGCCGUCAGCGAGUGCGCAGCGCGGAGCAAUACAGCAUUGUCACCUGAGCCGCUAACCGGAAGCCCGCGAAAUUCUUUCCUCGUAGACGCAUGAGACGCUCCGUGAAGUGUUUGGAAGUGCAUCUAGUGUUUGGUCUUUGGCCGACUGUACCCCCGCAAAGCAAAGCCAGCCGUGUGGACAGUGAAGAAGCAGAUAUUGCACGCUGAAAACAUCACCUCAUCACAGAUGCAUCGUGCACUGUGAGUUGACAGUCCCUUCUUGUGUGCUUCGACAAUCACUAUUCUUGGGACUCAACAUACAACAGGACACUAUCUUGUGGUCUCCAGAGACCAGUACAACCUGCGCUUCGGGAAACCGGUACACAUCUUUGUGGAAACUGGCCUUGAGGUGAUGCCAAUUUUUCUUUUUCUUUUUUGCAUAACACCAUCAAGCUUUCUACCAGACCUCAGUCUAUACCAUCUUGAAUCUCAGAGACAAGUGUAUAUUGUUGUGUGCGAUCCUCAGAGUUAAUGGACAGUCAUCCAUAUUCAGCUUAUGAAGUAAUAAACUCUGUUGUUGUCUCCCUCAGAAUAUCGCUGCUCAGCCAUGAUUAUGGAGGUAUAUAUAGUCUGUUUAACCAAAUUUUUGCAAAAUAUAUACACUACUUCUGUUUUGCUUAAUAACUUCGUUUUCUGACACAGAAAGUUCCAUAUGAGAGGUACAUAUCUUUCCCUGUGCAUGCUACAGUUGUUGCUAUAUGUGUGUGGUUUUCAGAGCUUGCUCAAUGCUGCUUCUUUUUCUCUUUCUUUCUUGUUUACUACACGUUUCUGAAGAUCAGGAGUAGAGAUCACAAAACGAAAAACUAGGUGUCAGUAACAUGUCUUGAGGAGCUAAUCAGAGUUGCUGUGGGUCAUGGAAUUUGUCAGGAGGGCAACAUACAGUUAUUUCUUUCUAGGUGUAUUUAAUGGAUGAGUUAUCACUUCGCUCUAUGGUUGCUGGUGCUGAGAAAUGCCUCGAUGCCAUUUUUCAUUGUUAAAAAUGGACUAUGGAAACAAGAUCAGUCAACAUGUGUGAGUGCACCUUCACUAAUCCCACAAACGCCUCUCCUCUGACAAAUUUAUUACCCUUGGGAGAGCCUCAGCAAGACAGUACUUGAUGCAUUGGAAGCAGACAAUGUUCUGCUUCCCUCUCAACGACAGGAAGUGGCACACAUGGCAGCGUCAUGGCCCUGUAUAUCCAUUGAAGGUGGGAGGCACUCCUGAUAUUUAUUCACAGGCACCUGGUUGGUAUCAUUGAGAACGAAGGGAGCCAGCAGGCAUAAAAAAAUCAAGAGGGAUACAUACAUAAAUGCGUGAGGCAAUGAGGGCCGCAGAUGAAUACAGCAAGAAGUGGGAACAUCUCAUGUGAUACAUAGCGGUCAUAUGUUCCACCACCAAAGUCAUGCACAAGUUAUUUGUAGUCUUUUCAGUAAUUUCCAAAAUAAAGGGUUA